AAGGGAUGAAGAUCUGCUAAGUGCGCGACGUCCUUCCGCAGCGCAGAACUGACCCGCAUCCUGCGGG
rnacentral:sRNA from 1 species